CGUAGGGUGCAAGCGUUGUCCGGAAUUAUUGGGCGUAAAGAGCUCGUAGGCGGUUUGUCGCGUCUGCUGUGAAAUCCGGAGGCUCAACCUCCGGCCUGCAGUGGGUACGGGCAGACUAGAGUGCGGUAGGGGAGAUUGGAAUUCCUGGUGUAGCGGUGGAAUGCGCAGAUAUCAGGAGGAACACCGAUGGCGAAGGCAGAUCUCUGGGCCGUAACUGACGCUGAGGAGCGAAAGCAUGGGAGCGAACAGGAUU
rnacentral:rRNA from 1 species